UUAAGCAUAUCAAUAAGCGGAGGAAAAGAAACCAACAGGGAUUGCCCUAGUAACGGCGAGUGAAGCGGCAACAGCUCAAAUUUGAAAUCUGGCCCUCUCAGGGUCCGAGUUGUAAUUUGCAGAGGGUGCUUUGGCGUUGGCUGUGGUCUAAGUUCCUUGGAACAGGACGUCGCAGAGGGUGAGAAUCCCGUAUGUGGCCGCCAGCCUUCGCCGUGUAAAGCCCCUUCGACGAGUCGAGUUGUUUGGGAAUGCAGCUCUAAAUGGGAGGUAAAUUUCUUCUAAAGCUAAAUAUUGGCCAGAGACCGAUAGCGCACAAGUAGAGUGAUCGAAAGAUGAAAAGCACUUUGGAAAGAGAGUCAAAAAGCACGUGAAAUUGUUGAAAGGGAAGCGCUUGCAGUCAGACUUGCCUGUAGUUGCUCAUCCGCGCUCUUGCGCGGUGCACUCUUCUGCAGGCAGGCCAGCAUCAGUCCGGGCGGUAGGAUAAAGGCCUGCUAAACGUACCUCUCCUCGGGGAGGACUUAUAGGGUAGGUGCCAUACUGCCAGCCUGGAUUGAGGUCCGCGCAUCUGCUAGGAUGCUGGCGUAAUGGCUGUAAGCGGCCCGUCUUGAAACACGGACCAAGGAGUCUAACAUCUAUGCGAGUGUUUGGGUGUCAAGCCCGAGCGCGCAAUGAAAGUGAACGGAGGUGGGAACCCUCACGGGUGCACCAUCGACCGAUCCUGAUGUCUUCGGAUGGAUUUGAGUAAGAGCAUAGCUGUUGGGACCCGAAAGAUGGUGAACUAUGCCUGAAUAGGGUGAAGCCAGAGGAAACUCUGGUGGAGGCUCGCAGCGGUUCUGACGUGCAAAUCGAUCGUCAAAUUUGGGCAUAGGGGCGAAAGACUAAU
rnacentral:ncRNA from 1 species